rnacentral:rRNA from 1 species
CCUACGGGUGGCAGCAGUAGGGAAUAUUGCACAAUGGGGGAAACCCUGAAGCAGCAACGCCGCGUGGGGGAUGAAGGUUUUCGGAUUGUAAACUCCUAUUGUCAGAGAAGAUAAUGACGGUAUCUAACGAAUAAGCCCCGGCUAACUCCGUGCCAGCAGCCGCGGUAAUACGGAGGGGGCAAGCGUUAUCCGGAUUCACUGGGCGUAAAGAGCGCGUAGGCGGGAUAGCAAGUCAGAUGUGAAAUCCCAGGGCUUAACCACAGAACUGCAUUUGAAACUGUUAUUCUAGAGUGUGGGAGAGGUAAGUGGAAUUCUUGGUGUAGGGGUAAAAUGCGUAGAGAUCAGGAGGAAUACUCGUGGCGAAGGCGGCCUGCUAGAACGUAACUGACGUUGAUGCGCGAAAGUGUGGGGAGCAAACAGGAUUAGAUACCCCAGUAGUC